GUGGGCAUUUGGCCUGCCCAAUGAUUUAUUGAAUGGCCGCGGUAUUUUGACCGUGCAAAGGUAGCAUAAUCAUUAGUCUUUUAAUUGGAGUCUGGAAUGAAUGGUUAGACGGAGAAUUGGCUUUUUUGUGAUCAUUUAGUUGAAUUUUACUUUUUAGUGAAAAGGCUAAAAUUGUCUUGGGGGACGAUAAGACCCUAUAGAUCUUUAUAUUUCGUCUUUUAAGAAAGAUUGAGAAGUAUUUGUGGGGCGACAGGAAGAUAGAGCAAUCUCUUCUAGAAGUUAAAGUUACUGAUGGGUAUUAAUGUAGAUCCGUUUGUUACGAUUGUUAGAUUAAGUUACCUUAGGGAUAACAGCGUAAUUUCCUUUGAGAGUUCAUAUCGACGGGGGAGAUUGCGACCUCGAUGUUGGAUUAAGGGAUUCUUUGUGGUGCAGAAGCUACAUAAGAAAGUGCUGUUCGACCU
rnacentral:rRNA from 1 species